UGGGGAAUUUUGGACAAUGGGGCAACCCUGAUCCAGCAAUGCCGCGUGUGUGAAGAAGGCCUUCGGGUUGUAAAGCACUUUUGUCCGGAAAGAAAUCGCCCUGGCUAAUAUCCGGGGUGGAUGACGGUACUGGAAGAAUAAGCACCGGCUAACUACGUGCCAGCAGCCGCGGUAAUACGUAGGGUGCAAGCGUUAAUCGGAAUUACUGGGCGUAAAGCGUGCGCAGGCGGUUGUGCAAGACAGAUGUGAAAAUCCCCGGGCUUAACCUGGGAAUGGCAUUUGUGACUGCACGGCUAGAGUGUGUCAGAGGGGGGUAGAAUUCCACGUGUAGCAGUGAAAUGCGUAGAUAUGUGGAGGAACACCGAUGGCGAAGGCAGCCCCCUGGGAUAACACUGACGCUCAUGCACGAAAGCGUGGGGGGCAAACAGGAUUAAUACCCUGGUAGUCCCACGCCCUAAAACGAUGUCAACUAGUUGUCGGGUCUUAAUUGACUUGGUAAA
rnacentral:rRNA from 1 species